UGCAUGUUGUGGUGUAGUUUCCAUAAAUAAGGGUUUUUUUUUUCGGAAAUAAAGGGGAUUUAAUUAAUUGUCUAUGAUUUGAUUUUUUUUUUAUAAGUUAUGAGAUUAAAUUUGGCCAUUAGAUCAAAUAGAAUAAAUGGAUAGGAUUCGGUGUCAAAAUAAAAUUUGACACCUGGUGUUAACGGAUCCUAACUCUCUCUAUAUAUAUAUAUACCAUAAUGUGAUAAAAAAAAGUAAAAGUAAAACUAAUCCAAACAAAAGUAUUACAUGAUGAAAAUAGUGGUAAAAGAUUAAUAAAUAUAGUAAAGUCAUCAAUGAUUAACACAAUAAAUUUAAUAACAUAAAGAUAAAAGAAGAAAUUAC
rnacentral:lncRNA from 1 species